CCUACGGGAGGCAGCAGUGAGGAAUAUUGGUCAAUGGGAGGAAGCCUGAACCAGCCAUGCCGCGUGCAGGACGACGGCUCUACGAGUUGUAAACUGCUUUUGUACCGGGGUAAAAUGCUCUACGAGUAGGGUUUUGAAAGUACGGUACGAAUAAGGAUCGGCUAACUCCGUGCCAGCAGCCGCGGUAAUACGGAGGAUCCGAGCGUUAUCCGGAUUCAUUGGGGUUAAAGGGUGCGUAGGUUGUUGUAUAAGUUCGCGGUGAAAUACCGAUGCUCAACAUCGGGGCUGCCGCUAAUACUGUAGGACUAGAGAUCGGAUGCAGCAGGCGGAAUGUGUAGUGUAGCGGUGAAAUGCAUAGAUAUUACACAGAACACCGAUUGCGAAGGCAGCUUGCUAGGCCGGAUCUGACACUGAUGCACGAAAGCGUGGGGAGCAAACAGGAUUAGAUACCCCGGUAGUC
rnacentral:rRNA from 1 species